rnacentral:lncRNA from 1 species
UUACCAUGAUAAUUUGCAUUCUCCUUAUGAUGGUGUGAUGAGAAAGUUCCUUCAUUCUGUUUCUUCUUCAUGGAGAGGAAUUGUUGUCUUCUUGAACAAAGAUUUUUCAAAAUUUCUCGUGAUGGGUUUUUCCUGCAAAGAUGAUCAAGUUUGCUGUCUGUUCUCUGAGCCAUUGUUUCCAGCUCUUAUCUCAUUGUUAUCCCCAAAGUUUUGCCCCCAAAUCUGGUCCACCUUUCUUCAAAAGAUAUUUGGGCCCAAUACUCCACUUGUCGGACUCUGCCAAUACCAGGCCUUUUCCCAAUUAUUCCCGAAAGUAACCUACCGUCAAGGACUCAGAACUUGUGCAUCAAAUCUCAAAUGCAAUAAAAUUACGCCGUUCUGAGCCUGUCUGUCGUGUUCUAAAGCCUUAUGGGUCAAAAUUUAGAUCUGAUCAUUUGAUUUGGGUUCUGAUGAACAUUAAGGGUGAAUAUAGACUUGUUUUGGAUUUCUUUGAGUGGGCAUGCUUGCGUAGAGACCCAACACUCGAGGCCCGUUGCAUUGUUAUCCAAAUUGCUGUAGCUUCUAAAGAUUUAAAAAUGGCUCAUCAACUUAUUCAUGACUUUUGGUCAAAACCUGAUUUGGAUAUUGGUCUAUCAAGAAACCCAUUUCCCAUGAUAAACUUUCUAUCGAGCAACCGAAUACGAACCAACGCCUUUAUAAUGAAAUGCCAUGUAAUGCCAUGCAAUCAGAGUAAAACACAAAAAGUCAGUAUCAAUUAAAUACAAUACGACCAAGAAAUAGUAAAAACUCCUAAUGAGGUGUCUACUAAGGUUAAGAGUAAUUCUACUUAGGGUGAGUUCCUAAGGUUCAUUAUAUGAGGUUUGGCUUCUAAAGAAAGGGUACCCGAACCAGCAGAUUCCUCGAUCCUCACCCAUUAUAGGCUCAUAUAGAUCGAGUUCAGUUCAGGGGAAUACAUUUCCCUAUGGCUGCACGGAGAUGAAAAUCUCACGAAGACAUAGGUACGGAUGUAUCCCAAAAGCGGUCCACUACCCUGCACGGAAGUGAAAUCCUCACGAAGGACUAGCUUCUCGCUCCCAUCUAGAGGGGUAAAAUUGACCAUGAAAUGCAAAAUGCAAAUAAACUAACGAAUUUAGACCAAUUAAGUAAGCAUAUCAUGAGGAAAACCAAUGAAUGCAAAAGGGGAAAUCGUGAUUUAAAACAAAUUUUGAUUUUUCGACAAAAAAGACAGAAAUAAUCAAUUUAUGGCUCGACUCUCUAAGAAUGUCCCCAGCGGAGUUGCCAAGCUGUCGAAACUAUUUUUUUGAAAACAAAAAAAUUAGAUGUCGACCUUUAAAAAACAAAAAUUGGAGUCGCCACCGAUCCUUGAUUGAGGUAUGAUCGGCUCACCUUAAAAACGAUUUUGGUCUGCGAAAUUUGAGAAAAUAGGUUCGGGAGUCAGUUACGCACGAGGAAGGGUUAGCACCCUCGUAACGCUCAAAAUCGGUACCGAAUUAAUUGUUUAAUGUCUUGGUGUCGAAAAUUUGAAAAUAUUUUAAAAGAAAACUUUUAACUUGUGAAUAAAUUAAAAUAACAAAACAUUCUUAUUUCAAAGAAAUAAAAUAUCACACCUAGUGAGUUAGGGCGCAAUAUUUUUAAAUCUUCAAAAUUAAGUUUGUCUUUUGAUUUUUAAAACUCACACAUUUAAAUCUAAGAAUAUUCGGCUAUCUAGGUCAAAUGAAGAAAAUUGAAACCCAAUAAGUUAGGCCACAAUUUCUCAAAAUUCCAAAUACCGAAUAUGAUCUUUUGUUUUAGAAAUUCUUAUUUCGAGAUAAUAAAAUGUCAUGACCAGUAAGUUAGGACCUGACAUUUUUGGAUUCCCGAGAAUAAACUUUUAUUUGAAAUCUCUGUGAAUUUAUUACAAGAUAAAUAAUUAGCUCUCUAAAUUCAUCGAAAAAUAAUCGCAAUCCAGUAAGUUAAGACACAAUUAUUUUCUCGAGAAUCAUGAAUGCUAAAUAUUUUGAAAAUUUAUAAAAUAUGAUGAUUUUGGUACUUUGACGAAACCAAGAUGUUUUCUUAAAAAAUGUUAAUGCAUAACAUGAAACCAUUACUUCAAUUUAAAUGAUAUAUGUAUAUGUAUUUACAAAAUAAAAUAUACGUGAAUUUUAAAAAUAUGUGUGUGCAUAUAUUCAUAAAUUAUGAAAAAAUAAAUAAAUAUGUAUAGGUAUCUAAAAUAAAUAAAUAAAUAAAUAAUAUAAGUAAAAUAUAUUCAUAAAUUAUGAAAAAAUGCGGAAAAUAUAUUUAUAAUAAUUUUGAAUAGUUUAUGUAUAUAUAUGUAUAUUAUAAAAAUAAAUAUAUAUAUAUAUAUAUAUGGAUUAUAAAAUGUGAAAAACUAUAUAAAUAUUAUAAAAUAUAAAUAUAUGUACGUAUAUAUAUGUAAUAAAACUAAGAAGAAUAAAAUAAUAAUAAAAUAUAUAAGAUAUGCAUAUGUAUUAAAAACCAUUUUAAAUAUGUACAUAUAUAUAAUAAGAUACAUAUGCGCCUACAUAUAUGUAUUGAAAUAAUAAUAAUAACAAUAAUAAUAAUUUAUAUAAUAAAAUUAAUUAUAUAAAAGAAAUUAAAAAAAACAACAGAUUAACGAUUAAAUUGAAAACAAACGAAAAUUUAAAGCUAAAUUUAAAAAUAGAAAACACAAAAAGGGACCGAAUUAAAAUGCGCCCAACAGGAGGAGGAUCAAAAGAGAAAUUUACCCAAACCACCCAAAACGCUGCGCAACACUGGACUAAAAUAAAACAGAUUCGAUAUUUCAUGGAAAAAUUUGAAAACAAAAAAAGAAUGGUUUUGAAAUGAUGGGAUAAAAUGGAAGGAUUAAAAACACAAAUAACCCAUCAAUGCUUAAAAGUUAAAACCCAUUCCAAACUCUAAUUAAAACCCUAUUCCCUUUUGCGGUAACAGCAGCCUCAAGAACUGCUCCACCUCCUCCUCUGUUUUUCAAGCCGAACUCCCUCCUUUCAACUUCGAUUUAGACGAAGAGAAGCAAAGAUGUUGGCGGCGCGCCUCUUUUGGUAAGGAUUUCUCCUCCUUUUAUUUUUGAUUGGUGUGCAGAAGAAAAAAAACAAAGAAAUCAAUGAGCAAGAAGAAAAUAGACCCAGAAAAUCACCUUCAAAAUCCUUGCUUUUCUGUUUUUUCUUUUUUAGUUUCCUUAAUUUCAAUACAAAACUUGUCUCUUUACACUGAUUUUUUUACACUCAUUUCCCUCCUCUUUCAUUACAGAAAAAAUUCCCCCCCGUUUUGCUAUUCUCCUUUUCUUUUUAUUUGCUGUUGUUUGUGGUUCGUGGAAGAUAGACGUGCGCGACGUGGAAAGAGAUCGUGCGACGUGCUGCGACAUCUGUGGCGCUGUGGAGGCUGCUUGCUGCUGCAGCACUGAGGCGAAGGGGCUAGGGUUCUUUGAUGGGUUUAUUGGGCUAGAUUAGAUUUGGUUUUAGGCUAAUGUAAUUGGGUUACAAUUUGGGCUUGUAACAUUUGUUUUUGGGCCACGUAAAUUAGGCUUUUAAAUGGACUGGUCACCUUUAUACUGAUGAUAUAUUUAAGUUUCGAACUGAAUGUUGGAUUUCAGCACUUAACUAAUAUAAUUGUUUUCUCCAUCAUCAGGAAAAGGCCACUGAACAAGAUGCUGUUGAAAUCUUGAUGUAUGAGCGUUACGUUUUACAUACGGCUUGUUUGAGGUGUUGAUCUUUGAGACUUCUAUCACCAUAUGGAAUAAAGGCAUCAUUAGCUAAAUAAUUCUUUCGUUCCCUAUAGCAGUUUUUACUGGGAGAAAUAUGUUUUGCUGAAAGGAGAAAACAAGGUACUUCAAAUUUCACUGUUUGAAUAGUAUUUGAUUUAUAUAUUCUUUUUCAUUAAUUUCAAAUUCAUUAGAAAUGUUUACUGAUUGCACAAGUCAGAGAGGUGAACCAACAUUUUUGUUAAAAUGAUUACCUUCAUUGUUUAACUAUUGACUUCACCUCCAUAAUGGCAUGUGGUUUAUGUACAAAGUUUAGCUCAAAUGAGAAGAGAAUGAUAAAUUUGUGGAUAUCAAUUUAAUGUGUUGCUUAAUGAUGAUAUUAGUGGGCAUUUCAUAUCACUUAGCAUUUAGUAAUGAUUGAGUGUUGCUGAAAAUGUGAUUUCACUGAUUUGCUACCAUGCUAUCGUCUAUUUAUUAUUAUCCUAAUAUAUGCAGCUUUUACCAUGAUAAUUUGCAUUCUCCUUAUGAUGGUGUGAUGAGAAAGUUCCUUCAUUCUGUUUCUUCUUCAUGGAGAGGAAUUGCUGUCUUCUUGAACAAAGAUUUUUCAAAAUUUCUCGUGAUGGGUUUUUCCUGCAAAGAUGAUCAAGUUUGCUGUCUGUUCUCUGAGCCAUUGUUUCCAGCUCUUAUCUCAUUGUUAUCCCCAAAGUUUUGCCCCCAAAUCUGGUCCACCUUUCUUCAAAAGAUAUUUGGGCCCAAUACUCCACUUGUCGGACUCUGCCAAUACCAGGCCUUUUCCCAAUUAUUCCCCAAAGAAACCUACCGUCAAGGACUCGGAACUUGUGCAUCAAAUCUCAAAUGCAAUAAAAUUACGCCGUUCU